AGGACGAACGCUGGCGGCGUGCUUAACACAUGCAAGUCGAGCGGUAAGGCCUCUUCGGGGGUACACGAGCGGCGAACGGGUGAGUAACACGUGGGUGACCUGCCCUCAGCUCUGGGAUAAGCCUGGGAAACUGGGUCUAAUACUGGAUAUGACUGCGCAUCGCAUGGUGUGUGGUGGAAAGUUUUUUCGGCUGGGGAUGGGCCCGCGGCCUAUCAGCUUGUUGGUGGGGUGAUGGCCUACCAAGGCGACGACGGGUAGCC
rnacentral:rRNA from 1 species